GACAGAGGAGCCAAGCGUUGUCCGGAUUGACUGGGCGUAAAGCGCACGCAGGCGGCCCGGCGCGUGGGGUGUGAAAGCUGGCGGCUUAACUGCCAGAUGCCAUCCCAUACGGCUGGGCUCGAGCCCUGCAGAGGUCCAUGGAAUUGCCGGUGUAGUGGUGAAAUGCGUAGAGAUCCGGAGGAACACCAGUGGCGAAGGCGACACGCUGGGCCGUACCUGACACUGAUGCGCGACAGCAUGGGGAGCAAACAGG
rnacentral:rRNA from 1 species